AGAACGAACGCUGGCGGCAUGCCUAAUACAUGCAAGUCGAACGAACACUUCGGUGUUAGUGGCGCACGGGUGCGUAACGCGUGGGAAUCUGCCCUUGGGUUCGGAAUAACAGUUGGAAACGACUGCUAAUACCGGAUGAUAUCGAAAGAUCAAAGAUUUAUCGCCCAGGGAUGAGCCCGCGUAGGAUUAGCUAGUUGGUGAGGUAAAGGCUCACCAAGGCGACGAUCCUUAGCUGGUCCUGAGAGGAUGAUCAGCCACACUGGGGGACUGAGACACGGCCCAGACUCCGUACGGGAGGCAGCAAUAGGGGAAUAGUUGGACAA
rnacentral:rRNA from 1 species